rnacentral:rRNA from 1 species
GCGAUCCCAGGUCAGGCGGGACUACCCGCCGAGUUUAA